rnacentral:rRNA from 1 species
GAUCCUGGCUCAGGAUGAACGCUAGCUACAGGCUUAACACAUGCAAGUCGAGGGGCAGCAUAGUGUUCUAGCAAUAGAAUACGGAUGGCGACCGGCGCACGGGUGAGUAACACGUAUCCAACCUGGCUGUUAUUCGGGAAUAGCCUUGCGAAAGUAAGACUAAUGCCCAAUGAUAUCCCACGAAGGCAUCCGAAUGGGAUUAAAGAUUUAUCGGUGAUGGAUGGGGAUGCGU